UCGUCCUGCGCACGAAAUACCG
rnacentral:siRNA from 1 species